rnacentral:rRNA from 1 species
GACGAACGCUGGCGGCGUGCUUAACACAUGCAAGUCGAACGGAAAGGCCCUGCAUUUUGGGGGUGCUCGAAUGGCUAACGGGUGAGUAACACGUGAGUGACCUGCCCUUGACUUUGGGAUAACUUCAGGAAACUGGGGCUAAUACCGGAUAGUAGCUCCUGCUGCAUGGUGGGGGGGGGAAAGUUUCGGCGGUUGGGGACGGACUCGCGGCUUAUCAGCUUGUUGGUGGGGUAGUGGCUUACCAAGGCUUUGACGGGUAGCCGUCCUGAGAGGGUGACCGGCCACAUUGGGACUGAGAUACGGACCAGACUCCUACGGGAGGCAGCAGUGGGGAAUAUUGUGCAAUGGGCGGAAGCCUAAUGCAGCAACGCCGCGUGCGGGAUGACGGCCUUCGGGUUGUAAACCGCUUUCGCCUGUGACGAAGCGUGAGUGACGGUAAUGGGUAAAGAAGCACCGGCUAACUACGUG